GCUACCGCCAUAUUCAAGCCAGUAGCGUCUCGAGCGCCUUGGGCGAGGCAGCUCUGGCUGCUCUCUCCGUGCUUCUGUCCGCUGGCCCAGGCAGGAGCGGCCCGUGCCGUCCUGUCCGUGCAGCGGGCCCUGCGAAGACCAGAUGUUGAUGGACCCGCGCCGUGCUCGGCUGCGCCAUCCUCCCGGCGCGCAUGCGGGGGCGGCACCGACCUCGUGCCCCGGCCUCGGAUCGCCGCCUCGCGCCCGCUUGGCUCCCGGUGCCGCACUCGUCUUUCUCGGGUAUCCCGCGGCAGGCGGAGGGCUGCGAUCGACCCGGACUUUGAGCCGCUUCCCCGGACGGACUUCAGAGAGCUCGGCCGAGAAGCAGAUCUGUAGUGGAGGGUCCAGAGCGGGCCCUACUUCAGGGGUAAAGAAGAUAGCGACAGCCCUGCGGGCUGGAAGAACACCAACCCGCCAAGGAAACUGGAAUGAAGAGGAGAAGAUGUGAUACGGGAGGUGAGAUGGUGGGGACUGGUAGUAUUUUUCCAUGUGCUGCUUUCAAGGUUCACAGGGAAAAAAGGUUGCCACGGAGCAGCUGGAUGUGGAUCCCUGUGUUCCGCAAGUGGCAGGAAUCUCAAGUCUCUCCAAGUACUCCGCCUGUCUUUGCUUUCGAACCCCACCGAUCCUCCAGAGCAUCAUGUAAGUCUGUAUUGAAGACUAUGGACCUUUCAGCCAGUUUGUCAUAUCGCAGAGAUUACAGCUUGACAUGGAUGGCCAUACCUUUGCCCUGGCCUUUGGUCUGCUGACUUCAGAUGCAUACAGUUGUGAUGUUCUCAUUUAGUCCCACUGAAAGAAAACUACAGAAUGAGGUAAGAAUGGAACAACCAGAGAGGGAAGCAGCAUCUACUGCAGAAAAAAAAAAAGCAAAAUCACGGGGAAACUAUGGAGACGAUCAAUGGGAGAGACACCAAAUGCUAAUGCUCACCUUUGCUUAUGUGUUGUCCCCAUAGCAUCUGACAGUGGCAUUGUCUUAAUCAUCUAGUAUUUACCUAUCCACUAUUACCUUAGCAAUUACAAGUUGUGAAAAGCUAAAUGCAAUAGUUGUAAGUAGAAUUCUGUCAAAAUGCCAACUCUUCACUGAAAAGAAAGCAAGCUAUGAUACAUAUUAAUUUGAUUAAUAGCCAGAUAAAGGGAUCUUUACCACUAAGAACAAAAGAGGCAGUGAUAAAUUGGAAGUUGUUUUAAUCUAUUAAAAAGUGUUAUAAAUUUGAUUAAAUUAUGUUGUUUAUAAUAUAUAUGAGUAUAAAAUGACAUAAACUACAGUAGAAAUAGUUUGAAAGAAGUAUUAUUUUUUUAAUUCACUCUAAAAUGAAUUAAAAAUGCUUGUAAUGACUUCUGGUUUCUGAUUCUAUAUAUAAGGAGCAUGAAAGUUGCCACUUUGUCCUAACAGCAAGUAGAAAGCUGAACAGAUUGAAAAAUAAAAACUCUACUUGGUACAUAAAAGAGGAGGACACCAGUCAAACCACUGGCCCAAAGACUGGAGAGACAAGGCGCGGAGGCUCCCAGGGCAGAGACUCCAAAGUCAAAGCCCCGUGGGGACCACGAGGCAGAUCCUCCAAAAGUGGCAUGCUGUGCACUUUUAAGUAGUUCCUUGGUGGUCAAUUACUACAUAUCCUCACAUAGUACAGAUAGACAUUUGAAGAUGCCAGAGGCAAGAGGAAAUGAUGCCUCUUUGUCUGCAAAAGUGUCAGUCUAGCACCUAGUCAGCAAAGCUUCUGAACUCUGAAAAAGAACAGGACAAAGGGUGGCUCAAUCAGAGAUUAAUAUUGGACUAAGGAUUGAAGUUUGGGAAAGCUAAAGAUUCUGAUCACUCUGGCAUCUUUGCUUACUGCCAAUAUGUACCUCAAAUUUUCCUUCAUUCUAGUUCCCUACAGAGAAUCAAACUCAUGGAAGAAGUAAUUACUGAGCCUUGGUUGAUUCAGAGAAAUAACACUGUCACAGUCUGUGAG